UUUCCGUAGGUGAACCUGCGGAAGGAUCAUUACAAUUUUGGCACACCAAGAUGCCCUCGGGCGUUGCGGUGUUGUCAAUCGAGAUACCAACCCAUGUCUUUUGAGCACCUCACGUUUCCUCGGCAGGCUUGCCUGCCACUGGGGACCCUUUAAACUCUUUGUAAAUACAGCAUCUGUCUGAAUAAACAAACAAAAAUCAAAACUUUCAACAAUGGAUCUCUUGGUUCUGGCAUCGAUGAAGAACGCAGC
rnacentral:misc_RNA from 1 species